GUGGGGGAGCCGUAGCGAAGGCGAGUCUCAAAAGGCGUUUUGAGUCGCGCGCCCUGGACCCGAAGCGGGAUGAUCUAGCCCUGGGCAGGUUGAAGCGCGGGUAAGACCGCGUGGAGGACCGAACCCACCUGGGUUGAAAACCGGGGGGAUGACCUGGGGCUAGGGGUGAAAGGCCAAUCAAAUUCCGUGAUAGCUGGUUCUCUCCGAAAUGCAUUUAGGUGCAGCGUCGGUUGAUUGCAUCGCGGGGGUAGAGCUACUGGAUGCUUGCGGGCCCGUGUCGGGUACCAAUAGCAGCCAAACUCCGAAUACCGUGGAUGUGUAUUCCGGCAGUGAGUCGGCGGGGGAUAAGCUCCGUCGUCGAGAGGGAGACAGCCCAGAUCGUCGUCUAAGGUCCCGAAGCGUGUGCUAAGUGGGAAAGGAUGUGGAGUCGCAUAGACAGCCAGGAGGUUGGCUCAGAAGCAGCCAUCCUUGAAAGAGUGCGUAACAGCUCACUGGUCUAGUGGUUCCGCGCCGACAAUGUAGCGGGGCUCAAGCACACCACCGAAGACGCGGCAACAGUUUUUGCUGUUGGGUAGGAGAGCGUCCCGCGUGGGGCGAAGCGGCCGGGGAACCGUGCCGUGGACCGCGCGGGAGUGAGAAUGCAGACAUGAGUAGCGAGAGACGGGUGAGGAUCCCGUCCGCUGGAUGACCAAGGGUUCCGGGGCCACGUUCGUCGUCCCCGGGUGAGUCGGGUCCUAAGGCGAGGCCGACAGGCGUAGUCGAAUGGAUGAACGGGUGGAUAUUCCCGUACCGGCGGCGUACCGUAAGAGCCGAACGGAUGAGUACUAACCUCCGGUCGCGUGGCGUCGUUCCCUUCGGGGUUCGGGGUCCGCGGUCGUUGGGAGCGUAGUCCCGGUAGGCUAGCGCACAGGGGUGACACGGAAUGGGAGCCGGCCGCGGAGGUGGUUUUCCGUGGUCAAGCACGCAGCCCGUCCCAUAGGCAAAUCCGUGGGACGCAUAGGGUGAGGUGUGAUGAUGGGCGUCCUUUGGACGCGAUAUCCGGUGGUCCAGGCCGUCGAGAAAAGCCUCGGCGCGAGGGGCGUCGCCGCCCGUACCCCAAACCGACACUGGUGGUCAGGUAGAGAAUACCAAGGCGAUCGAGCGAAUCCUGGUCAAGGAACUCGGCAAAUCACUCCCGUGCCUUCGGUAUAAGGGAGACCCCCGGGCGUGAAGAGGCUUGCCCUCGGAGCGUUGGGGGGUGGCACAGACCAGGGGGUAGCGACUGUUUACCAAAAACACAGGUGCAUGCGAAGGCGCAAGCCGCUGUAUAUGCACUGACGCCUGCCCGGUGCCGGAAGGUUAAGAGGAUCCGUCAGCCCCUUUUGGGGUGAAGCGGUGAAUUCAAGCCCCGGUAAACGGCGGUGGUAACUAUAACCAUCCUAAGGUAGCGAAAUUCCUUGUCGGGUAAGUUCCGACCUGCACGAAUGGCGUAACGACUUCCCCACUGUCUCGACCAGGAGCUCGGCGAAAUUGCAGUACGAGUAAAGAUGCUCGUUAAGCGCAGAAGGACGAAAAGACCCCGGGACCUUUACUAUACCUUGGUAUUGGCGUUAGGCGCGGAUUGUGUAGCAUAGGCGGGAGGCUUCGAAGCAUGGGCGCCAGCCCGUGUGGAGCCGCAAGGUGAAAUACCGCUCUGUUCUCGUUUGACGUCUCACCUCGAACAGUCAUCCUGUUCAGGGACAGUGCCUGGCGGGUAGUUUAACUGGGGCGGUUGCCUCCCAAAGAGUAACGGAGGCGCUCAAAGGUCCGCUCAGCCCGGUUGGCAAUCGGGUUUCGAGUGUAAUCGCACAAGCGGGCUUGACUGCGAGAACGACGGUUCGGGCAGGGACGAAAGUCGGAGAUAGUGAUCCGGUGCCGGCGCACGGGCGCGGCAUCGCUCAACGGAUAAAAGGUACCCCGGGGAUAACAGGCUGAUCAUUCCCAAGAGUCCAUAUCGACGGGAUGGUUUGGCACCUCGAUGUCGGCUCGUCGCAUCCUGGGGCUGGAGCAGGUCCCAAGGGUUCGGCUGUUCGCCGAUUAAAGCGGCACGCGAGCUGGGUUCAGAACGUCGUGAGACAGUUUGGUCUCUAUCCUCUGCGCUCGUUGGAAUCCUGAGGAGGCCUGCCCAUAGUACGAGAGGACCUGGGUGGACGGACCUCUGGUAUGCCGGUUGUCGCGCCAGCGGCAUGGCCGGUUGGCUACGUUCGGGAGGGAUAACCGCUGAAAGCAUCUAAGCGGGAAGCCUGCUCCAAGAUUAGGAUUCCUUGGCGCUCCCCGGAGCGCCUGUAGCCCGCAUGUUGAACACGUGUUCGAUAGGCCGGAGGUGGAAGCCCCGCGAGGGGUGGAGCCGACCGGUACUAACGGGCGAACGCGGCA
rnacentral:rRNA from 1 species